rnacentral:rRNA from 1 species
AGAGUUUGAUCCUGGCUCAGGACGAACGCUGGCGGCGCGCCUAACACAUGCAAGUCGAACGAGAGAUGAGGAGCUUGCUCUUCAAAUCGAGUGGCGAACGGGUGAGUAACGCGUGAGGAACCUGCCUCAAAGAGGGGGACAACAGUUGGAAACGACUGCUAAUACCGCAUAAGCCCACGGCUCGGCAUCGAGCAGAGGGAAAAGGAGUGAUCCGCUUUGAGAUGGCCUCGCGUCCGAUUAGCUGGUUGGUGAGGUAAUGGCCCACCAAGGCGACGAUCGGUAGCCGGACUGAGAGGUUGAACGGCCACAUUGGGACUGAGACACGGCCCAGACUCCUACGGGAGGCAGCAGUGGGGAAUAUUGCACAAUGGGGGAAACCCUGAUGCAGCGACGCCGCGUGGAGGAAGAAGGUCUUCGGAUUGUAAACUCCUGUUGUUGAGGAAGAUAAUGACGGUACUCAACAAGGAAGUGACGGCUAACUACGUGCCAGCAGCCGCGGUAAAACGUAGGUCACAAGCGUUGUCCGGAAUUACUGGGUGUAAAGGGAGCGCAGGCGGGAGGACAAGUUGGAAGUGAAAUCCAUGGGCUCAACCCAUGAACUGCUUUCAAAACUGUUUUUCUUGAGUAGUGCAGAGGUAGGCGGAAUUCCCGGUGUAGCGGUGGAAUGCGUAGAUAUCGGGAGGAACACCAGUGGCGAAGGCGGCCUACUGGGCACCAACUGACGCUGAGGCUCGAAAGUGUGGGUAGCAAACAGGAUUAGAUACCCUGGUAGUCCACACCGUAAACGAUGAUUACUAGGUGUUGGAGGAUUGACCCCUUCAGUGCCGCAGUUAACACAAUAAGUAAUCCACCUGGGGAGUACGACCGCAAGGUUG